CGAGAAAGCCCGCAAGGGUGAGUAAAGCGGCGCACGGGUGCGUAACACGUGGGUAAUCUGCCCUAGAGUCUGGAAUAACUCGCCGAAAGGCGUGCUAAUGCCGGAUGAGACCACGGGAGCCUCGGCUCCUGCGGGAAAAGGUGGCCUCUGUAUACAAGCUAUCGCUCUAGGAUGAGCCCGCGGCCCAUCAGUUAGUUGGCGGGGUAAUGGCCCACCAAGGCUACGACGGGUAGCUGGUCUGAGAGGACGAUCAGCCACACUGGAACUGAGACACGGUCCAGACUCCUACGGGAGGCAGCAGUGGGGAAUCUUGCGCAAUGGGCGAAAGCCUGACGCAGCAACGCCGCGUGUGUGAUGAAGGUCUUCGGAUCGUAAAGCACUGUCGCGAGGGACG
rnacentral:rRNA from 1 species